AGACAGGGUCUCGCUAUGUUGCCCAGGCUGGACUCCACCUCCUGGGCUUCAGGAAUCCUCCUGCCUCAGCCUCCCGAGUAGCUGGGACUACAGGCUUUAAAAGAGGUAUCACUGUCUCCUGAUGGGAUCAGCAUUUUGGUAGAGUCACAACCAAAAGGGGAGUUCAUCUUUACAGGGUUUGAGACAGAGUGAGAAUUUGCAGAACUGAAGAGCUGGAACCACCUGUGACUCCAUUCCAUAAUCCUGCAGCUCAUUCCCUCUGGGAUGCCCUAUGGAAGGAGCAUACCACUGUGGUGAAAAGGGCAUGCCUUAGAGCUCGAAGACUCAGAUGCACAUCACAAUUCUGCCACUUACUAGUUACGUGACCUUGAGCAAAUUUCUUGACCUCUCCUAGCUUCAGUUUCCUCAUCUGCACAAUAAAAAUAAAAUCUGCUUCACAGCAUAUUGC